UCAGAUUAUAACCUCCGAGACACCUGAUAGUUGACUCUCACAGCAUUUGAUGAAUAAGUGAUGCUCAUUUAACACCUAAGGAUUUGAUUUUCACGAGUAUGGAGCUGACAACAUAGGAGUCAAAUGUCCAAGCCCAUUAAAGUACGGAUUCGAGUUAAGGGGAAAGCAGAACCCGAGUAGCAUCUCCGUCCUGGAAGCUGGAAGAGGCCAGUGUAGAAGCUGAGGUAGUGUCAGUCUUCAGUUGUGGAGUUGUAGCACCGUAGAGCUGGAGUAUAAGCCCUUGGACUUGAAUUGGUCAUGAACCUGAGAAACCCACAUCACUCAGAGUGCUGCCAGGUUUCUCGACUUCUGUCAGGACUUAGCAGGCUUACCGGUUCUACGAGUUUGUCUCCACUACCAGAAUGUGGGCAAGUCAAUUAAAAAAAAAAUUACAAACCUGCCAUAAGAAUAGUG
rnacentral:lncRNA from 1 species